rnacentral:lncRNA from 10 species
GAAAAUUUGUGAUUUGGUGUGUAGAAACACUCUUGAUUUUUGUAUAUGGAUUUUUUUAUUCUGCAAUUUUACUAGAUUUCUAGAACACACAAGAGUUUACUCUCUAUAAAUAACUCUAAGAGAAAUACAUGAAGGAAACACUUCUGAAACGUCUCAUUUCCUAGUUGACAUUAACGUUCUCACAGUGAAGAGUUCCCCUGGCCUAGAGUCAAUGUGGCAAAGCCUUCUUCUGGAGCUCACAUCAGAAAACUCAGGUAUAGUAUUAAAGUAUUAUUCAAAGGAAAGCAGAAGUGGCUAACCUAAGAAUAUGUAAUGUAGACUUCAAAGGAAAGAAAAUUACCAGAGACUUAAAAGAAGAAGAUAUAAUGAUAAAAUAAUCAAUCUAUCUAGAAGACAUAAUGUAAAAUAUUUAUGCACCAAACAACACAGCUGCAAAAUUAGGAAAGUGAAAAAGUGAUAGUACUGAAAGAAGAAUUAGAUAAAUAGUACUCAGCAAUAAAUAGGAAUACAUUUUGAUACACAGAAGCAACUUGGAAAAAUCUUCAAGAAAUUACACUGAGAAAAAAAAAAGUCAAUCACAGAACUUUCCAUAUUUUCCUGGAAAGAUAAAUUUGUGAAAAUAGAGAAGAAAUUAGCAGUCGCAAACUAUUAGGUCUGGAGUAAGUAUGGUAGGCAACAUGGGAGUGAGUUUGGUUAUAACAGGGCAAGAGGAGAUAUUCUAGUGCUGGAACUGCUCACUCUCCAAGUAAUAUCUACAAUAUGGCAGAUAUGGGAACUCUGGACCAACCUUCCUCUGACACACACACUGAUUAGCAAAAAUUAACCCUCAAAUUCUAUUGCUGAGAAUUACAAAUUAGUUGAAAUACUCCCCUGUACUCUGGAAGAACUAAUAGAGUUUUUGUUGGGUUCUUGGGGUUUCUAUAUAUAAGAUUAUGAUGUCUGCAGACAAGAAUAAUUUUGACCUCUUUUUAAAAAUCAAUUUGGAUGCUCUGAAUUUGGUGAUAUGUAUAUGUUCUUUAUUACGUUGAAAUAUGUUCUAUCUACACCUAAUUUGGUGUUUAAUUAAUUUGCUAGCUGUGAUUUUGUUAUAUAUGUUCUUUAUUGUGUUGAACUAUGUUCUUUC